rnacentral:rRNA from 1 species
UACGUAUGGAGCAAGCGUUAUCCGGAUUUACUGGGUGUAAAGGGAGCGUAGACGGCAUGGCAAGUCUGAUGUGAAAGCCCGGGGCUCAACCCCGGAACUGCGUUGGAAACUGUCGUGCUGGAGUGCAGGAGAGGUAAGCGGAAUUCCUAGUGUAGCGGUGAAAUGCGUAGAUAUUAGGAGGAACACCAGUGGCGAAGGCGGCUUACUGGACUGUAACUGACGUUGAGGCUCGAAAGCGUGGGGAGCAAACA